AUUGAACGCUGGCGGCAUGCUUUACACAUGCAAGUCGAACGGUAACAGGCCUUCGGGUGCUGACGAGUGGCGAACGGGUGAGUAAUGCAUCGGAACGUACCCAGAGGUGGGGGAUAACGCAGCGAAAGCUGUGCUAAUACCGCAUGUGAUCUGAGGAUGAAAGCGGGGGACCGAGCAGCAAUGUUUGGCCUCGCGCCUUUGGAGCGGCCGAUGUCGGAUUAGCUAGUUGGUGGGGUAAAGGCCUACCAAGGCGACGAUCCGUAGCUGGUCUGAGAGGACGACCAGCCACACUGGGACUGAGACACGGCCCAGACUCCUACGGGAGGCAGCAGUGGGGAAUUUUGGACAAUGGGCGCAAGCCUGAUCCAGCAAUGCCGCGUGCGGGAAGAAGGCCUUCGGGUUGUAAACCGCUUUUGGCAGGAACGAAACGGUAUCCGCUAAUACCGGGCGCUAAUGACGGUACCUGCAGAAUAAGCACCGGCUAACUACGUG
rnacentral:rRNA from 1 species